UGAAUUGCAAAUCUUGUCCCUUUGCUGUAGGGAGAGUCUGGAUUUCCUGGAAAUCCUGGGAUGCUUGGUGAGAGGGGUCUUAUUGGUUUUGUCGGACCUGUCGGUGAGGUGGGGUUUCCUGGAGAAAAGGGAGAUCGUGGUGAGAUGGGUCUGCCCGGACCACCUGGAGAAAAGGGAGCGAUGGGACACCCAGGGGCCCCGGGUGAGAGAGGCCCAUCUGGACCAGAAGGUACACCAG